CUUUCUCUUCAGUGCCAGAAGCUGAAACUCCUCUUGCGACUCCUGCGACUCUUGCGACUCCUGCGACUCCUGCGACUCCACCUCCUCCUCCCACUGUGAGCUCGCUGCUGGGGGGCAGGAACGUGACGGUGGUGGGAAAGAGGCUGUGCUGGUCCGACGCUCUGUUCUACUGCAGGCGUCAUCACUGGGAUCUGCUCAGCCUUCACAAUCAGCAGGAGCAAAGUGAGGUGGAGCAGCUGCUGGGUCGCGUUUCCUUCCCCCUCACAGGCUACGUCUGGCUGGGAUUGCACAGAUACAUAAUGGGAAAGAGCUGGUACUGGAUGUCUGGAGACUCCAUGGGUUUCACCAAUUGGCCCACAGACUUCGUCCCUCAACGUUCGUCCAACUCCUGUGGAGGCAUGGCCACCAGGGAGAGCUUCCUGUGGAAGGAUCCGCCCUGUCAGGAGCUCCUCAACUUCAUCUGCCAGUCAGGUGCUGAGGACGGUGCACAAAGAGUGUAUUACUACAGCACCAGGACAGCCACAAGUCCAUAGCAAAGGCGGAGGGUAGUGUAUAUGCUGGGAUGCAUAUUUAGUUAGAUAAAAUAGUUUUAAACAUGGAUGGAUUUCACUUCAGACCAUGUUUUUGGGUCAUAACAGAAUAGGAGGACAUUUAGGCUUUGAAAC
ensembl:lncRNA